rnacentral:rRNA from 1 species
UACGAAGGGGGCUAGCGUUGCUCGGAAUUACUGGGCGUAAAGCGCACGUAGGCGGCUCUUUAAGUCGGGGGUGAAAUCCUGGAGCUCAACUCCAGAACUGCCUUCGAUACUGGAGAGCUUGAGUUCGGGAGAGGUGAGUGGAACUGCGAGUGUAGAGGUGAAAUUCGUAGAUAUUCGCAAGAACACCAGUGGCGAAGGCGGCUCACUGGCCCGAUACUGACGCUGAGGCACGAAAGCGUGGGGAGCAAACAGG